GGAGACAAAGGCGGUCGGGCGCGGUGUUGGCCACCCACCCCCCCUCGUGUCGACCUUCACAGUGUUGGCUUGCUGUUGAAGCGGACCGACAACAGCAGAAGACGACGGGGAAGGGCCGUCUGGCGCGCCACGUGUGACCCGGUGACUUCACAACUGGGCAUCCACGCGCGAGUUGACGAUCCGUUGCCGCACCGACGGAUCGUCAUCACAACAGUCCACGCAGCUGAGGAUUCUGGCGUUGUCUGGCACGUGGCCGCGCAGCACGACAUGAACCCGGCGACCCGAGUUCGAUUGCCCGGCCACGACUAAAAUGGGUGGCGAGUCGACGCCCGAACCGGUGCCGGGGCCCUCCCCACCGUGGCGCCAACCCACACCUGGCCAGCGUGAUGAAGUAUGGUCGCAGAGCAACCACGACCAAAACAGCACGGCGAGGAGAAGAGAGGCCUUCAUCCAGCAGUGGAUUGACUAAGGGCUGUGCGUUGACAGUGCACCGUUUGGCAGAGCGUUGCCGAGAAACUGCCCGGCAUCGAUGACGACACCGCACAUCUGCGAUGGCAGCGAUGGGCAACCCCGUGACCCCACGCGGCGCCCCCCCCCCCGCAUCUUCCGCCCCCCGCGAGGUCGAGCCGGCCGAGUCGGUGCCGGAGGGCGACGCCACAGAUGAUCUCGGAACACAACGGGCGGCGUUGUGGCCGGCGCCGUUGCCAAGUGCCGGGCGGGAAUAAUAUUCCAAUUGUUGCUUUGGGCGUCGAAGUCGUCGGACUGAUGCACUUCCACUCGGAAAAAUCCAAAAAUAGGCUCAGCUUGGAGCACUGCGCCGCCUCCACUGCCACCGCCUCCACCGCCACCGCCG